CAGCAAUGCCGCGUGAGUGAGGAAGGCCUUCGGGUUGUAAAGCUCUGUCAGAUAGGAAGAAUUGCCAAGGGUCCAAUAGGCCCUUGGAGUGACGGUACUAUCAAAGGAAGCACCGGCUAACUUCGUGCCAGCAGCCGCGGUAAUACGAAGGGUGCAAGCGUUGUUCGGAUUUAUUGGGCGUAAAGCGCGCGCAGGCGGGCAGCUAAGUCAGAUGUGAAAUCUCGGGGCUCAACCCCGAAACUGCGUCUGAAACUGGUUGCCUAGAGUUUCAGANGGGANAGCGGAAUUUCGCAUGUAGGGGUAAAAUCCGUAGAGAUGCGAAGGAACACCAGAGCCGAAGGGGGCUCUCUGGCUGACAACUGACGCUGAGGCGCGAAAGCGUGGGGAGCAAACAGGAUUAGAUACCCUGGUAGUCCACGCCGUAAACGAUGUGCACUAGUUAUGGGAGGUAUUGACCCCUUCCGUGACGUAGCUAACGCGUUAAGUGCACCGCCUGGGGAGUACGGUCGCAAGACUAAAACUC
rnacentral:rRNA from 1 species